rnacentral:rRNA from 1 species
AGGACGAACGCUGGCGGCGUGCUUAACACAUGCAAGUCGAGCGGAAAGGCCCUUCGGGGUACUCGAGCGGCGAACGGGUGAGUAACACGUGAGUAAUCUGCCCCUAGCUCUGGGAUAGCUCCGGGAAAACCGGGAUUAAUACCAGAUACGACCACUUUAGACAUCUGUUGUGGUGGAAAGAAUUUUGGCUAGGGAUGAGCUCGCGGCCUAUCAGCUUGUUGGUGAGGUAACGGCUCACCAAGGCGACGACGGGUAGCCGGCCUGAGAGGGCGACCGGCCACACUGGGACUGAGACACGGCCCAGACUCCUACGGGAGGCAGCAGUGGGGAAUAUUGCGCAAUGGGCGAAAGCCUGACGCAGCGACGCCGCGUGGGGGAUGAAGGCCUUCGGGUUGUAACCCUUUCAGCAGGGACGAAGCGAAGUGACGGUACCUGCAGAAGAAGCGCCGGCUAACUACGUGCCAGCAGCCGC